rnacentral:lncRNA from 1 species
UAAAUGUUUUACAGUUUUAGGCCUAUAGUCUAGUAAUGUGUCACGCAUGAAAAAAGACCAAAAGCCCGCGCUGCAUUUGAAUUGAAAGAAAAAUGAAACUUUGACGGCAGGAUAUGUCAGAAAGAAAAAGUUAACCGCAUGUGACCAGCAAUCUAUCUUAUGUAUUCUUCCCGGAUAAAGUUCCAAGAAGGAAAUUCGUUUUUAGGGCAGCCAGCCCCAUUCAAAUAUGUUGCGCCAACAUUUCCAAAGAUUUGUAACGGCUCUAAUCGUCUGAAAACUCGGAAGAAAGUUGUUGUUGUUUUUUCUUCUUCUAUUCUCUCCGAGUUUACUGACAAAGUGCAAUGUGACCCUCGGAUUGUGACAUGACAUUAAUAACCACUCGGUUCUCCAUUUUUCAUCUGAAAAAUGAAGAAACAAAAUUGUUGACGACUGUUUUCUUUUUUUGCCAUCACCGCAAACUUGUCAAGAUUUUCGUCCAACCAUUAGCAACAGUUAAUCUUUGAAGUGUCUUGCGAAAAGUGGUUUUAUGUUCGUUUCGACACACCGCAGAGAGAAGUGCCAACCAAAAAGUGUUAAACGUCAUCAUACCUAUAAAAGCUGCUGGUUCAUUCUAUUGAACACACUCCAUGUGGAACCCAACGUUAACCUUUCACAGGUCGAGUCUCAAAGGCUCCACUCUCUCAAGAAGCGACUUCAAUUGGCUCUUGGAUUCCAAUGGAAUGCAAAUGACUUUGGCCGCAGAAUUCACAGGGUGGAGUUCCUCCGCUGUCCAAUGCCACACAACCCAUGUAAGUACACUUUCAUUCGUAAUUUAAUAGUUAUUGCGAAAUUUCCAUCUGUUAAGUAACAACUGCGGUUUCCUUUUCGGCAAAUGGAAUCGGUUGUUUUUUAUAACCCCCAGUUAGGCAAUUUUCCCUUUUUAAGUUUUUCAUCCAUGAACCCUGGGAGGGAAAAAAACAAAAGUUUGGCUUGUUAGAUAAUCUGAUAUAUCCGCGGGGUGGUGUACACGCUUCAAUAAAUAAAUAUGCUUUUAUAUGUACCUCGGCCAGACAAUGUCUGCUUGGGUUUUUUUGUGGGGCACAUUUGCGAUGUCUGGCUUUCUUUCCAUUUGAAAUAGAAUGCCAGACGGCAACUCCAGACGCUAUCUCUCUCUCUCCAGACAACCAGUAUUCAAUUAGCUUGCUAAAACAGGAUUAAUACAACAUUGUAAGGGGCACGUUAUAGGAUACUAUGUACAUUGUAUAUAAUGGCUCACGUGGCUCACGUCGGUUCGAAGAAACCAGUCUCAUGAUCAUAAUCAGUUUUACCCUCUUAUUCGCAUUAUUAUUACUAACAAAAUUGUGAAAAUAGUAACAUUUCGUUUUGAUUUGGCCAAUUAUUUCGGGUUUUUCGGCAUUCUGUAGAUACAUCGUUAAGUAGCUUGUAGUUGCUUUGCCGAGUUACUUUGCUGAUUUCUUGCUAAGUGCACAUUGUCAAAAGAUUUCGGGUUCGGCGGCGUCCUUGUUAAAAACGACAUUGUUGCUUUUAUAUCAUUUAAUCGCUUUUAUCUUUAACGGCUCUAUUUCGUGUUGCUAGUUCGCUCUGUCUCGGUGGCAACGUACCGUACGAACUUUGAUGAAAUAACCAAAUAAGCUCAACGUCUUUGUUAUCAAAGCGUCUGGGAGAUCAACAAAAGUUUCGGUUUUCACUGCGUUGGUGAAUUCUUUCGUUCCCUUUGAACAUCUUCAUAAAGUUGCGCUGCUGUCGUCGGAAACAGCCGAGUGGCCGACAUCGAAAACGUCAAAUAAUCCUUGUGGGAAUUUAUUCACGGAACAUGUAUAUUGCUUCACUCAAGUGUUUACAUCCUAUACGCUUUCCAGUUCACA